rnacentral:misc_RNA from 1 species
UUUCCGUAGGUGAACCUGCGGAAGGAUCAUUCAUAAUAAAGUGUUUUAUGGCACUUUUUAAAAAUCCAUAUCCACCUUGUGUGCAAUGUUAGAUCUCGUCAAUCUAGGCGAGAUUUUUAUACAUCAACUCAUUCUUUAACUAAUUUGUCUGAAAAAUAUUAUGAAUACUUAAUUCAAAAUACAACUUUCAACAACGGAUCUCUUGGCUCUC